UACGAAGGGGGCUAGCGUUGCUCGGAAUCACUGGGCGUAAAGGGUGCGUAGGCGGGUCUUUAAGUCAGGGGUGAAAUCCUGGAGCUCAACUCCAGAACUGCCUUUGAUACUGAGGAUCUUGAGUUCGGGAGAGGUGAGUGGAACUGCGAGUGUAGAGGUGAAAUUCGUAGAUAUUCGCAAGAACACCAGUGGCGAAGGCGGCUCACUGGCCCGAUACUGACGCUGAGGCACGGAAGCGUGGGGAGCAAACAGG
rnacentral:rRNA from 1 species